AAAAACUGAGGUGGUGUAAGAUGGGCCCGCGUCUGAUUAGGUAGUUGGUGGGGUAGAAGCCUACCAAGCCGACGAUCAGUAGCCGACCUGAGAGGGCGACCGGCCACAUUGGGACUGAGACACGGCCCAAACUCCUACGGGAGGCAGCGGUGGGGAAUAUUGCACAAUGGGGGAAACCCUGAUGCAGCGACGCCGCGUGAGUGAGGAAGUAUUUCGGUAUGUAAAGCUCUAUCAGCAGGGAAGAAAAUGACGGUACCUGACUAAGAAGCCCCGGCUAACUACGUGCCAGCAGCCGCGGUAAUACGUAGGGGGCAAGCGUUAUCCGGAUUUACUGGGUGUAAAGGGAGCGUAGACGGACUUGCAAGUCUGAUGUGAAAAUCCGGGGCCCAACCCCGGAACUGCAUUGGAAACUGUAUAUCUAGAGUGCCGGAGAGGCAAGUGGAAUUCCUGGUGUAGCGGUGAAAUGCGUAGAUAUCAGGAGGAACACCAGUGGCGAAGGCGGCUUGCUGGACGAUGACUGACGUUGAGGCUCGAAAGCGUGGGGAGCAAACAGGAUUAGAUACCCUGGUAGUCCACGCCGUAAACGAUGACUACUAGGUGUCGGGAGGCAAAGCCUUUCG
rnacentral:rRNA from 1 species